UGAACGUUUUGAUGGUAGCAAGAAUAUUAAAGACGAUUAACAAACUGGUUGUCUAUAAACUCAUUGAAUUCGGUGAACACCUCCAGCAAAUGUUGUAGGCAAUACCGAGCCAAGCCCACGAAGUGGGAAGGUGUAACGACUAUUAUGUAGCCCUCAAGUGAGGUCGAAGCAGUGAGCAACGGAGACGUUGAAGAGAUAGUCUACUCUGCAUAGUGAUAUGCAG
rnacentral:ncRNA from 1 species